rnacentral:rRNA from 1 species
UACGUAGGGGGCAAGCGUUGUCCGGAUUUAUUGGGCGUAAAGAGCGUGUAGGCGGCCAUACAGGUCAGCUGUGAAAACUCGAGGCUCAACCUCGAGACGUCGGUUGAAACCGUAUGGCUAGAGUCCGGAAGAGGAGAGUGGAAUUCCCGGUGUAGCGGUGAAAUGACGCAGAUAUCGGGAAGAACACCCGGUGGCGAAGGCGGCUCUCUCGGGAGCGGUACUGACGCUGAGACGCGAAAGCGUGGGGAGCGAACGAGGAAG